ACGGAGGGUUGCGAGCGUUUAAUCGGAAUUACUUGGGCGUUAAAGCGUCAUGCAGGUGGUUUGUUAAGUUCAGAUGGUUACCGGUAAAAACGGUACCCCCGGGGGUCCGUUACCGUUAAACCCUUCGGAAUUGCAUUUGAAAACUGGCAAACUAGAGUACUGUAGAGGGGGUAGAAUUUCAGGUGUAGCGGUGAAAUGCGUAGAGAUCUGAAGGAAUACCGGUGGCGAAGGCGGCCCCCUGGACAGAUACUGACACUCAGAUGCGAAAGCGUGGGGGAGCAAACAGGAUUAGAUACCCCUGGUAG
rnacentral:rRNA from 1 species